rnacentral:sRNA from 1 species
GGCAUUUUCCAGGGCCUGCACCAAAUCAGGAAGCUCCUAGUCUGUGCCUCAAGAUCACGCCUCAUUUGGAGGUCACACGAGGCCUGGCUGGUGGGUCCUACCAGGGCACUGGAUCUGGAGAGUGGAGGAAGCACUGGGUGCCGGGGUUUGGACUCGGGCCCAUGUACACCUCCUCCUACCCCCCCCCCCCGCAGCUGUCCCCUAGAAGCCGCCUUUGCCCACCCCCACCCCACCCCAGCUCAAUAAUCUGCUUCUUCUAGCAGGAAGGAAAUCAUCUCUUCCCUCUGUAGCCCCCACUGGGAGCGCCUCAGCUGCUGAGGAUGGUGAUCUGCUGGCUCAGCCUUGGUACUCGGGGAACUGUGACCGCCAUGCUGUUGAGAGUGCCCUGCUCCACUUACAAAAGGAUGGGGCCUAUACCGUGCGCCCCAGCUCAGGGCCUCAUGGCUCCCAGCCCUUCACCCUGGCAGUGCUUCUCCGAGGCCGGGUCUUCAACAUUCCCAUCCGGCGGCUGGAUGGCGGAUGCCACUAUGCCCUGGGCCGGGAGGGCAGGAACCAUGAGGAGCUCUUCUGCUCCGUGGCCGCCAUGGUCCAGCACUUCACACAGCACCCUCUGCCCCUUGUGGACAGACACAGUGGCAGCCGUGAACUCACCUGCCUGCUCUUCCCUGCCAAGCCUUGAGGCCACAGCGAAGAAUGCAGGUGUCCCCCAGUUUACUAGGUCCUGGAUGAAGGAACCGUGGUGGCCUAGACCAGUCAGGGGACAGCACAGGCACUGCCAGAACAGCAAAGGAUCCUCUCACAUCUACUUGUGGGCCUAGGGCACCCUGAGAAGGACUGGCCUGCCUUGCACAAGUUUGCUUUCAAUAAACAUUUGUUGAAUGAA